rnacentral:rRNA from 1 species
UCCUGCAGAGAUGUGGGAGUGCUCGAAAGAGAACCUGGACACAGGUGCUGCAUGGCCGUCGUCAGCUCGUGUCGUGAGAUGUUGGGUUAAGUCCCGCAACGAGCGCAACCCUUGUCAUUAGUUGCUACGAAAGGGCACUCUAAUGAGACUGCCGGUGACAAACCGGAGGAAGGUGGGGAUGACGUCAGGUCCUCAUGGCCCUUAUGGGUAGGGCUACACACGUCAUACAAUGGCCGGUACAGAGGGCUGCCAACCCGCGAGGGGGAGCCAAUCCCAGAAAACCGGUCGUAGUCCGGAUCGCAGUCUGCAACUCGACUGCGUGAAGUCGGAAUCGCUAGUAAUCGCGGAUCAGCUUGCCGCGGUGAAUACGUUCCCGGGUCUUGUACACACCGCCCGUCACACCAUGGGA